rnacentral:rRNA from 1 species
UACGUAGGGUGCUAGCGUUGUCCGGAAUUAUUGGGCGUAAAGGGCUCGUAGGCGGUUUGUCGCGUCUGCCGUGAAAGUCCGGGGCUCAACUCCGGAUCUGCGGUGGGUACGGGCAGACUAGAGUGAUGUAGGGGAGACUGGAAUUCCUGGUGUAGCGGUGAAAUGCGCAGAUAUCAGGAGGAACACCGAUGGCGAAGGCAGGUCUCUGGGCAUUAACUGACGCUGAGGAGCGAAAGCAUGGGGAGCGAACAGG